AAGAACAAAAAGAGAAGGUCCUUGAGGGGCAAAGGAGAUCAGCCCACCUAGGCAAUGCAGGACAGUAGGUUGCAGAGUCUUAAUUCAAGUUGAGCUGUUCAUAUAAACUGAUGUCUGAAUCUCUAAGAAAGAAACAAGGAAGGCCAGAAGACAUGGCUCCGGUGUGGAGAAGGAAAGACUAGGUAUCUCAGUCUAUGAUACAGAGAAAAGUGGUGUGACCAACCUCGAUGCAGGAGGAGGAGAUGACACCGGAGGAAGAGGGUUGGUUAGAAUUUGGGAGCUGAAAACGGAACAGAAGAGAAAACCGAGAUGUGAAUCCUGUGUAACCAUUUUAUCUGCAAGCAAGAGGCUGCUAUUGUCAUCCUGACUUAAGAGGAGAAAGCAGUCACACAAUCGAGAACGUAACAGGGAGUCUGCGCAGCAAACAGGCAGACUUGAGACUUGGUUCUCUGACUAGGCAGAAGGCAAGACUGGUCUCUAGUAAUCUGUGCAUAUGUAUUCUUGAGUUCACUUGAUGAGUUUCCAUGCCAAAGUCAAAAUCAAAAUGAGAAAAGCCAGAGUCUGUUUGGCACAUGAGAGAGAAAGGAAAGAAGACAACAAUAUAAAUGAAAGAAGAGGAUAACUCGAAAAGGGACAAAGUGUCACAUGUAAAAACAAUCUUCCCUGGAGAGCCAUACCUAUCUAUUUCUGCAGAACUGAUUCCAGAAUUGGACAGAUUUUCUGAUCCCGAACCUUGACUGUCCUUCUUGGUAGGUUCCAAACCGUUCUUUAUGUCAUCGAAGUUCUCAUAUUUCAGAGCCUGGACCAGCUGCAGUAAGUACAUCAGCAAGUCCUAGAAACCAAUGAACGACAAAGAAACUGGUAUUAGCAGAGCCCAGCACACUUACUCCUAGAGCCAGGACAUCCCUCGACUUGCAAUGUCUACCUCUUCCAUCUGUUGCCAUUACCAUGUUACUAAGCUACGUCACUGCUGGCUGCAUCCUGUGUCUUUAUUUAUAGAAAGAGCAGGACAGCAAAGACUGCAGAAACAGACACAAUCACUAAAUAAGUAGACGAAGAAAGAGACUGGAGAGUGUGCGGCACACAGUGAGUGGCCAGCGGAUGAGUUCCCGUAAGUAGGGCUGACUGAACAACAAAACAAGAAAGCAGGAAAGUAAGGAGGGAGCUUGAGCUGGCUCCUAAGGAAUUAAAGAAGGGCCUUGUUAUCAGCAGAUAGUCAAAUGCAUCCCAUGUCUAAGACUGCUGGAGAACGCACUUCACAUUUUCAAAAGGAUUUCUGUUUCAGGACAUGUUCUGAAACAAAUUUUGUUCUUCUUUCCCUUAAAAGCCAGAGUUUAAAGAA